UGGAGGUGUGUAGGAGGCCUGUGCCGUCGCUCAUCCCUCACACCCUAUGGGUCGGGGCUGUUGGGUGUUCAAGGUGGGUAUGGGUAUCUCGAAUUUUAAAAAUCCUCUGUCAGGUACGGGCCAGGAUGAUAUUGUUAUCCUCAUUUCCAAACCCGACCCCAAGAUUGAGAUAUGUAUUUUUAAGUAAUUUACAUUUAAUAUAACUAUGUAUGAUUAUAAUAUAAUCAAGGCUUAUUUACACCAAUGCCUCCUAAAACUAUAGUCAAAU
rnacentral:lncRNA from 1 species